rnacentral:rRNA from 1 species
AUUGAACGCUGGCGGCAGGCCUAACACAUGCAAGUCGAGCGGAUGAAGGGAGCUUGCUCCUGGAUUCAGCGGCGGACGGGUGAGUAAUGCCUAGGAAUCUGCCUGGUAGUGGGGGAUAACGUCCGGAAACGGGCGCUAAUACCGCAUACGUCCUGAGGGAGAAAGUGGGGGAUCUUCGGACCUCACGCUAUCAGAUGAGCCUAGGUUGGAUUAGCUAGUUGGUGGGGUAAAGGCCUACCAAGGCGACGAUCCGUAACUGGUCUGAGAGGAUGAUCAGUCACACUGGAACUGAGACACGGGGCAGACUCCUACGGGAGGGAGCAGUGGGGAAUAUUUGACAAUGGGCGAAAGCCUGAUCCAGCGCUGCCGCGUGUGGGAAGAAGGUCUUCGGAUUGUAAAACACUUUAAGUUGGGAGAAAGGGAAGUAAGUUAAUACCUUGCUGUUUUGACGUUACCAACAGAAUAAGCACCGGCUAACUUCGUG